AGAUAACACAACUGUGAAGCCCAUCACCUUUGCAAAUUUGAAGAUGAAGAAAGUGAGGUUCUCGCCUUUGGACAGUCUAUACCUUGAAGGUGACAAAUAUAAAAUAAAGCCAAAAGUGAUGGAUGCUUAAAUGAUGUUACAGAAACUAUUCGGAUGAUUUGGAAGUCCACAGCUAUGGGCAACUAACUGGAUUGCUGUAGCCUGUGCAUUUGUUUUCAUCUUCAGUCACAACAGGCAGACUCUGCCGGCCAGAGUGUGCAACACCUGCUCAUGCAUCACUUCUCAUAUGUGGAGUUUUUUGGUGAAACAUCAAAUCACCCAGGUGACUCAGCCCCCUUAUAGCCCAGAUUUGGUGCCCUGUGAUUUCUGGAUUUUCCCAAAACUAAAAUCACCUUUGAAAGGGAAGAGAUUUUGGAACAUCAGUGAGAUACAGGAAAAUAUGACAAGAUAGCUGAUGGCAAGUGGGAGAACUGUGUAUGGUUCCAAGGUGUCUACUUUGAAGGGGACUGAGGUAAUAUUGCCUUAAGUAUAAUGUUUUUCAUAUCUUCUUCAAUAAGUGUCUCUAUUUUUCAUAUUACAUGGCUGGAUACCUCUUGGACAGACCUCAUAUGUAGGUAAAUUAGAAGAAAUUUAAAAUUUUUGACCAGUUUCAGGUCUCAACAUUACACGAUCUCACUCUAAAGCCUCUUCAGGUCCUAUUUAUAAAUGGGAUAAAGUUCUUCCUGGCUUCAUAUUUUUCUAUUAGCAUUUCUUGUGUAUCAGAGAGUUCACAGGACAAAGUUAAGAGGCUGUUAAAUUUUAAGGAGUGUGUCUGAGGGAGGGGGCACUGUCUAUUAGAGCUACCCCAAAAGGCAAACCCAUAUCAGAAUAUGUAAUAUGUAUACCACUGGAAUAGCACAAUAGAAAAGGGAAUUUUAAAAGAUGCAGAAUUAUUCCAAAAUGAAGUUCUGAGAACUCCAUAUAGAAUGAAUAACAAACCAAAUUACAGCUAUUCAACCAUAGCCAAAUUUAUUAAACCCACAUAUUAUGAAAAAAUCUUAAACAUCUAGAGAGAAAAAAGGAAAUGUUACCUAGAGAAGACCAAAAAGCAUGAUGUCAGAACACUUUUUCCUAGAAACGAUGCCAGUUAGAAAAGGAAUAACAUUUAU